rnacentral:misc_RNA from 1 species
UCCGACUUGUCGCCGGCAGUCCCUCUAGAGUGCCCAACCGAAUGCUGGCAACUAGAGGCGAGGGUUGCGCUCGUUGCGGGACUUAACCCAACAUCUCACGACACGAGCUGACGACAACCAUGCACCACCUGUCACCCUGUCCCCCCGAAGGGGGAACGCCCAAUCUCUUGGGUUGUCAGGGGAUGUCAAGACCUGGUAAGGUGGGGAUGACGUGAGAGAGUACGUCC